rnacentral:rRNA from 1 species
UCGUGCAAAGGUAGCAUAAUCAUUUGCCUUUUAAUUGAAGGCUUGUAUGAACGGACAAACGGAAUUCUCCCUGUAUCAUUAUUACAUAUAAAAAUUAGACUUCAGGUGAAGAUACCUGAAUUCCUUUGAAAGACAAGAAGACCCUAUAGAGUUUUAGUUAUACUCCUCCUCUUUACUCCAUAACUUUGGUUGGGGCGACCCAGGAUAAUAAAUAACAUCCUUCUCUUACUAGAGAUAUUUCUCUUUACUAAUGAUCCUUACUCAAGAACAUCAAAAUUAACUACCUUAGGGAUAACAGGCUUAUCUUCCUAGAGAGCUCAAAUUGAUAGGAAGGUUUGGCACCUCG